CCAGCUCGUCUGGGGGAAUCCCAAGGUGUCCCCAGGCCAGCCGAGAAACAUAGGCCCUCCAGCGUGUCCUGGGUCUUCCUCUGGGCCUCCUCUAAUUCAAACUAAAACAAACAAAACAACAACUGGGCAACAGACCUAAAUGCCUACUUGGAUACAAAGAAAGAACUAAAUGAAGUUGCUUCCGCUUGGAACCACCACAGGAUACGUCCAGCACACAAUUCACGAAGUCCUCACGGCCGCCCAUCCAUAAUGUACACAGUACCUCAGGUGUAUGGAACCAGAGACUAUCUACACAGCAUCGAUCUGAACAGGGUUGAAGCCUGUUUGGAAAACUGUGUUUUCAAAGACUUUCCAUGCGAUGAAGACGUCUUCAGUAUCUGUGUAGACCUCUUCAGUAUCUGUGUAGACCUGAUUUCAGAGCAUAACCUGGAUGUCAGAUGAUGUGUUUGCAACAACUGAUCUAUAUAUAAGACUCAGACAGCUAAUUACCAGUGAUUUGGAACUGCAGUGAUACAUGUAAAAACAUUUUGUUGUGUUGACAGUUUGCUACCUUGUCACUAACUUGGACUUCAGUAGACAUUUCCUGGGAGUACCUGUAUUUGCUUCAACACAGUGUUGCACAAGUGUAAAGAUGGGUCAAAGUCAUUCACAAGCUCUGUAACUAAGUAAGAAGAGACACUAAAAUAAGAUCAAUGCAUGCUGAGCUGAUAAAAUAAGUCUGACAUUAGAAAAAUAUAUUGAUACAUUGCACUAGUAUGGUCAGAUGACUUUUCAUUUUUAUAUUUUCCCUUUAUUAUCAAUAUCACUGCAUUAGAGUUUGAACAUUAUGCUGAUUAUUAAAGAGGAAAUAAAGGAAUUGAAAACUGC